rnacentral:rRNA from 1 species
AGGACGAACGCUGGCGGCGCGCUUAACACAUGCAAGUCGAGCGAGAACCGGUCCUUCGGGACCGGGGACAGCGGCGAACGGGUGAGUAUCACGUGGGUAAUCAACCCUCGGUACCGGGAUAGCCCGAGGAAACUCGGAUUAAAUACCGGAUGGCCCAACAGCUCUUCGGGGCGUUGGAAAAGGUGCUUCGGCCUCCGACCGAGGACGAGCCCGCGGCGGAUUAGCUUGUUGGUGGGGUAACGCCCACAAGGCGACGAUCCGUAGC